GUGGGGAAUUUUGGACAAUGGGCGAAAGCCUGAUCCAGCCAUGCCGCGUGCAGGAUGAAGGCCUUCGGGUUGUAAACUGCUUUUGUACGGAACGAAAAGACUCCUUCUAAUAAAGGGGGUCCAUGACGGUACCGUAAGAAUAAGCACCGGCUAACUACGUGCCAGCAGCCGCGGUAAUACGUAGGGUGCAAGCGUUAAUCGGAAUUACUGGGCGUAAAGCGUGCGCAGGCGGUUAUAUAAGACAGAUGUGAAAUCCCCGGGCUCAACCUGGGAAAUGCAUUUGUGACUGUAUAGCUAGAGUACGGUAGAGGGGGAUGGAAUUCCGCGUGUAGCAGUGAAAUGCGUAGAUAUGCGGAGGAACACCGAUGGCGAAGGCAAUCCCCUGGACCUGUACUGACGCUCAUGCACGAAAGCGUGGGGAGCAAACAGGAUUAGAAACCCUAGUAGUCC
rnacentral:rRNA from 1 species